rnacentral:tRNA from 1 species
GCCCUGGUGGCUCAGACGGUAAAGCAUCUGCCUGCAAUGCGGGAGACCCAGGUUUGAUCCCUGGGUUGGGAA